rnacentral:rRNA from 1 species
UACGUAGGGGGCAAGCGUUGUCCGGAUUUAUUGGGCGUAAAGAGCGUGUAGGCGGCCAUGCAGGUCAGCUGUGAAAACUCGAGGCUCAACCUCGAGACGUCGGUUGAAACCGUAUGGCUAGAGUCCGGAAGAGGAGAGUGGAAUUCCCGGUGUAGCGGUGAAAUGCGCAGAUAUCAGGAGGAACACCGAUGGCGAAGGCAGGUCUCUGGGCCACUACUGACGCUGAGAAGCGAAAGCAUGGGGAGCGAACAGG